rnacentral:rRNA from 1 species
UACGUAGGUGGCAAGCGUUGUCCGGCAUUAUUGGGCGUAAAGCGCGCGCAGGCGGUCCUUUAAGUCUGAUGUGAAAGCCCACGGCUCAACCGUGGAGGGUCAUUGGAAACUGGGGGACUUGAGUGCAGAAGAGGAAAGCGGAAUUCCACGUGUAGCGGUGAAAUGCGUAGAGAUGUGGAGGAACACCAGUGGCGAAGGCGAGUCUCUGGACGACUCCUGACACUGAGGCACGAAAGCUGGGGGAGCAAACAGG